rnacentral:rRNA from 1 species
UUCAUGCUCCCGAGAAAAUCUUCUAGCCAGUUACCCCGUGACCGUACCGCAGUCCAACACAGGUAGACAAGGAGGUAACCUCCUAAGGUGUACGAAAGAACUCUCGUUAAGGAACUCGGCAAAAUAACCCCGUAACUUCGGGACAAGGGGUGCCUCGCUCGGAAGAGCAGGCUGCAAUAAAUUGGUUCAGGGGACUGUUUAACAAAAACACAGGUCUCUGCUAAGUCGUAAGACGAUGUAUAGGAGCCGACGCUUGCCCAGUGCUGGAAGGUUACGAGGAGGGGUCAGGGAGCAAUCCCGAAGCUCUGAAUCUAAGCCCCAGUGAACGGCGGCCGUAACGAUAACGGUCCUAAGGUAGCGAAAUACCUUGUCGGGUAAGUUCCGACGCGCAUGAAAAGCGUAACUACCUGAACGCUGUCUCGACGAGAGAUUCGGUGAAAUAGCAGUGCCCGUGAAGAUGCGGGUUACUUGCAGAAGGACGGGAAGACCCCGUAGAGCUUUACUAUAACUUGAUAUUGCAUUCUGUUCGUUUAUGUACAGGAUAGGUGGGAGACUUGGAAGCGGGAUCGUCAGGUUCCGUGGAGUCAACCUUGGGAUACCACCCUUAAACGAAUAGGAUUCUAACGUCUAGCUUUGAAUCAAGCAGACGGACAGUGUCAGGCGGGUAGUUUGACUGGGGCGGUCGCCUCCUAAAGAGUAACGGAGGCGUGCAAAGGUUCCCUCAGCGUGUUUGGAAAUCACGCGAAGAGCGCAAAGGUAUAAGGGAGCUUAACUGCCUAGACGGACACGUCAAGCAGAUACGAAAGUAGGCCUUAGUGAUCCGGUGACACCGUAUGGAAGGGUCAUCGCUCAACGGAUAAAAGCUACCUCGGGGAUAACAGGCUUAUCCUUCCCAAGAGUCCACAUCGACGGGAGGGCUUGGCACCUCGAUGUCGGCUCGUCGCAUCCUGGAGCUGAAGCAGGUUCCAAGGGUUGGACUGUUCGUCCAUUAAAGCGGCACGCGAGCUGGGUUCAGAACGUCGUGAGACAGUUCGGUCCUUAUCCUCUGCAAGCGCAGGAUAUUUGAGUGGGUUCACUCCUAGUACGAGAGGAUCGGAGUGAGGAGACCGCCAGUGUACCGGUUAUUACGCCAGUAAUACGAGCCGGGUAGCUGUGUCUCAAAGAAUAAAUACUGAAAGCAUCUAAGUAUGAAGUCCCCCUCAAGAUGAGAUAUCCCACCCCUCGUGGGGUAAGAACACUGGUAGACUACCAGUUUGAUAGGCCAGGGCUGGAAGUGCUGAGAGGCACGCAGGUGACUGGUACUAAUCGUUCGAGGUUUUCUUCU